AUGUGCUUGCUUCAGCCACACAUAUACUAAAAACAGAAUGAUACAGAGGAAAUUAGUAUGGCCUCUGUGCAAGGAUAACAUGCAAGUUCAUGAAGUAAAGGAAGUGAUC
ensembl:snRNA U6 U6 spliceosomal RNA